UUUCCGUAGGUGAACCUGCGGAAGGAUCAUUAAUGAAUUUCUCUUUAUGAGAUUAUUCCUAUUGUGAUUUUAGUGGAAACAAAAUUGAAUUUGGGGAUUAAACAUGGUAUUUCGAAAGAGAGACCGGCCCCAAUUCAAAAGCCAAAAUAUCAUCUUAUUCAAUCAGACUGAUUACAAUUUAUUAUAUGAUAAUUCAUAAAAUAACUUUCAACAACGGAUCUCUUGGUUCUC
rnacentral:misc_RNA from 1 species